AUGUCAUAACUACAGUUGUUGGUUGGAUUUAAAGCUCGGAUCAGUUGAACCUUAUUGCAAUGAAGCAUUUUUCUUCCCAGUGUUGGAGGAACAUAGUAAAUACAUUGUAGAUAGAUAAUUGCUGUUGCAAUGUUUAGCUUGCUGGUUAAUACUACAAGGAUGAGGCAUUUUUAAUGCACUGGAGUACUGGACAGUUUUUAAUAGUAAUUUAGUCAAUUCUGGUCAUGCUUCACCUAGGCUUGCUCAUUAGCUUGAGUUUGAAUUGUUUUAUAGGGUUUUCGUGGUUUGAUACUGCAUAUGACCAGCUAAAUAAUUGACAUAGGAUCAAUUUGGGAAACAGGAAAACUAAGUUCAUUUUUUUUAUGAUGAUUUGGGCUUAAAUAUUAGGAGCAUUUUUGGUUGAAAGAAUAGUAGAUUGUAGUACAUGCUAUCAAAUGAUAAUUAAGAAAUUUAUCCUAUUGCUCACACACUAUUACAGUAAUACUGAACUGAACCAGACCUGCAUUAAACAUCUUAGUUAGGGGUUGUAAUUGAGCAGGGUCAAUUCAAUAAUGUAAGGCUUGAGCUCAAAUCAACUAAAACAUUCGAGGCUCGAAAUCUAACUUGACUUGAUUACAUUUAUAAGAUAAUUUAACAUGGCUCGACCUGAUUUAAUUAUCACUUUAAAUUUAGAAUUUUGUUAAUUUCAAAUUAAAACUUGAAUAUCCUCGAGUAAGCUCAAGUUCGAGCUUGAAUUGGCAUUUCUGUAAAAUAUUUAACGUAAAAUGAUAUAUACAUAUAUAUAUGCGCUUGCACGUACACACACAUCGAUUAA
rnacentral:misc_RNA from 1 species